rnacentral:tRNA from 1 species
UGGGGUAUCGCCAAGUGGUAAGGCAACGGUUUUUGGUAUCGUCAUCCGCAGGUUCGAAUCCUGCUACCCCAUCCA